AGGACGUCGAAGGUGGGGCUGAUGACUGGGGUGAAGUCGUAACAAGGUAUCCGUACCGGAAGGUGCGGAUGGAUCACCUCCUAACAGGGAGACAAAACAAUGAUUUUGAUGUCUGAGUAUUUUAUUCUUAGGCCGAAAUCCUGUCACCUUAGGUCGAUCGGUACCUCAACAUUUUUCCGAAGAUUGGUGAGCAAUCAUCAAGAGAUUGGAAGGGAUGUUCAGUUCCUAAACUUUGUCUAGGUCACACCCCGCAAGGGAAGAGUCCCCUGGGCCAUUAGCUCAGGUGGUUAGAGCGCACCCCUGAUAAGGGUGAGGUCCCUGGUUCAAGUCCAGGAUGGCCCAUUCGGUGUUGGGGGUUUAGCUCAGUUGGUAGAGCGCCUGCUUUGCAAGCAGGAUGUCAGGAGUUCGAGUCUCCUAACCUCCACUGACAGAACUCAAUCUCCAUUGUCCGGUAACUCGGAGGAUGAACUCAAAGGUGUGUGAUUUAGAUGUGUCCACUAGAUAGGACCCUAGCUUCCUGUCAUUCCGAACAAGUAAUUAUUGCUUGAUUGGCUGAUAUGAUGCUGGGCUCAGAUUAAUCGAAAGAUUAAUUUGAUCUCUAGUAGAACCUUGACAACUGCAUAAGUAAGUCUGGAAAAACGAAGCAUCUUACAGAUGCAUUGUUUUAAGUCUGGAUUCUCGAAAGAGAGUUUAGAUCUAGAAUGAUGAAAAUUCUUUUAAGCAAGAGCCGAGACUCUUAGAUGUUCUUUUUAUCGUGUCGAGCGAUAAAGAGUUUGAUUUUGUUUUUAUGAGCAGCGAAAGCUGCUGAUGAAACCAGAAGAAUCUGCUUUCAACCGCAGUAAGCGUUUAAGAGGUUAAUUGGUCAAGCUACAAAGGGCUCAC
rnacentral:misc_RNA from 1 species